GAAUCAAAAUAAAAUGGUGCUAAAAUGGAUGUUAUUUUCAACUGUGCACUCAGUAAUUGCAAAUAGUUGUACUAUAUACCUGGGGGUGAACACAAAGGAAGUAGUUGCAUCAUCUCUGUAUAAAACACAGAUUUAUCUUUCGUGUAGUUGUGCAUUACGUAGAAUAUGGUAAGGCAACAUCUGAGUUGUAGAAGUGCUACUGGAGUAACAGAGGUGAGGAAUCGGUUCUGCUCAAGGGAGAGGACUGGAGAAGAGACCUAGAGGGGAGAGUGGACCUUGAAGAACUGAUUGGAUUUCUCCUGUUGGGGAAUGUGAAUCAUAAAGCUGAGGUAGGGGGAACAAGUAUGAGGCUGGCAAGUAGUCGGUUUGGCAGGAGCACAGAGUGCCUGCAGGGAGGGCCAUGGGAGAUCAAGCUGGGAAUGUAGAAAGGAAUUUUAACUUGAUAAAUUUUGACUAGGUAACAGGUUCUUUUAUCAAGGAGUGACAUUUUAUGUCACAAAAAUUUUUAAACCAUUUCUGUCUCUUGGAAAACCCAAAGGUAGCAGUGGCAUGUGAAAAAUUCUUGUUUUAAAAGAUUCAAACAAUAAAGAAACAUGUAGAAUAUUUUGUGUCCGUACAUUUUAUGUUUAGGAGUUGAAUAUUAAUUUGUAAUUAAUAGAAUGGAGAAAAGCAAUCAGUUAAUUAGAAUUCACUUUAUAGGAAUGAAAUCUAGGCUUAAAGUGUGAGAAUAAUCUGUCUUGCUUUGUUGAAAGUGACCUUGGUAUUCGAAGACAGAGCUGCUCACUACUGUCAGUAAGACGUAUAUCUUAAAUUGAUUAAGGCUAGGUAAUCAGUUUGUGAGGAUUCAUUCUUAACGCUUGUGCCAUUGGCAGGCAUAUUUUAGGUGCUGUCUCUUGGGCCAUAAAUUAGUGACACUGAGUGCUGUGGAUUUACCCAAAUAACCUCUUUAAUAUUUGCUACUGUUAGGUGUAAUUAGAAGAUACAUGAAAGAGGCAGGGUGUGGUGGCUUAUGCUUGUAAUCCUAGCACUUUGGGAGGCUGAGGCAGGUGGAUCAACAUGGCGAAAUCCCAUCUCUACCAAAAAUACAAAAAAUUAGCCAGGCGUGGUGGCACCCGCUGCACCUGUAUCAGCUAUUCAGGAGGCCAAGGUGGGAGGAUCACUUGAGCCCUGGAGGCAGAGAUUGCAGUAAGCCAGGAUCUCAGGAUCGUGCCACUGCACUCCAGCCUUGGAGACAGAGAGAGACUCCAUCUCGGGGUGGGGGGAAAAAAAAGAGAAAAAGUGAGAGAGCCUGGACAACAUAACAAGAGCCUGUCUCUACAAAAAUAAAAUUAAAAAAAAAUUAGCCAGGUGUGAUGCCACAUGCCUGUAGUCCUAGCUACUUGCAAGCCUAAGGUGGGAGGAUCCAUUGAGCCCAGGAGUUCAAGGCUGCAGUGAGCUGUGAUGUUGCCGCUACACUCCAGGUGACAGAGCAAGACCCUAAGACCUUAUCUCUU
rnacentral:lncRNA from 1 species